AAAGGCAGCACCAGCCUGCACUAGCCUGGGUAUGAAGAACAAUAUUACAGGAGGGGUGUACACCCUCUGCGAUAUUGGGAGUCAUAUCAUCCUCUUUCGCUCUGGAUAUUAGGAAGAAUAUCACAGGGCUGUGUACACCCCCUGUGAUAUUGGGAGUCAUAUCAUCCUGUGGCCCUGAGGAGAGAAACAAUUUCUCUACUGUCUCCUGUCUCUGAAGAGGAGGAGGAAGUAAAAGUGGGAAAACAACAGGAAUGAAGUCAGUGGCAAGACCAGCCGGUGGCACUGAUGAGCCGGUCUGCGGUGAAAAGAUUAACCCCCCCUUAGAUUAACCCUAAGCACAUGUGCUCUGAAUCCAUCACGGCCCUUUCACGUGGAACCCCUUGGAGUUGUAAGCCCUUAAACGGGCCAGGAACUCUGUCUUCCUUGGAGGAGCUGGGUUCUUAAGACAAGAGUCUGUCGAUACUCUCGGCCGAGUAAAAAAACCUCUUGCUUCUUGAAUCUGCUGUCUGAGGGACUUCGUCCACGGCUCAUCCUACUUCAUUUCUUAGUGCCCUGAUUGGGAAUCAAACGGGGGCAGCAGCGGUAAAAGCACCGAAUCCCAACCACUAGACCACCAGGGGAACUUUGAACCUUGGGGAAAAUAGAUUGCCCACCAUUAGAAGUGGGUCGGCCAUCAGAAGGAAGCCUGGACAGGUCCCUUGCUUCUAAGGUGUGGCACAAGGUAACUGGUAAAGGACACCUAGACCAGUUCGUAUAGACACUUGGUGACAGCUGGUGCUAGACUCCCCACAGUGGCUAAGAGGGCAGGCAGCGGAAAUACUAGUAGCAAAGGGACAGAUAGCUAAGGAAGGAUCCCGCUCCACCCGCCCAGGGAAAUCAACUCCUGAAGCUCUAUUCCACCCAGCGUCAGAAGAUGCAUUGCAGGAGAUGGCACCAGAGAUCCCAGUGGUGCCCUCCCCUUAGCAGGGAAAGAGGCUCCCCACUCUUGAGCCCACAGUGCUUGCGCCUCCGCAAGACAAGCGUAUCCCUAGGCCACCUAGAGUAGACAAGGACUUGGGAGAAACCCCUCCCUUGGCAGCUCAUUUACAACCCAAAACCGGGAUCCAAAUGCCCCUGAGAGAGCAGCGGUAGACUGCUAUAGUUGAGGAUGGUCACGUGGUGGAGAGACGUGUUUUUGGGUACCAGCCCUUCACCUCUGCUGACCUUCUCAACUGGAAAAAUAAUACCCCGUCCUAUACCGAAAAGCCACAAGCUCUGAUUGAUUUGCUCCAAACUGUUAUCCAGACCCACAACCCCACCUGGGCUGAUUACCACCCGUUGCUCAUGUUCCUCUUUAACACAGAUGAAAGGCGGAGAGUCCUCCAAGCAGCAACUAAGUGGCUAGAGGAAUAUGCACCAGCUGAUUAUCAAAAACCCAGAGAGCACAUAAGGACCCAGUUACCAGGAACCGACCCCCAGUGGAACCCACAUGAAAGAGGGGAUAUGCAAAGUCUAAACUGAGACAGGGAAGCUCUCUUGGAAGGAUUACAGAGGGGAGCUCAGAAGGCCACAAACGUUCACAAGGUCUCUGAGGUCAUUCAGGGAAAACAAGAAAGUCCAGCACAAUUCUGUGCGAGACUGUGUCAGGCCUAUCGUGUGUAUACUCCCUUUGAUCCCCAGAUCCCUGAAAAUCAGUGCAUGAUUAACAUGGCUUUAGUCCGUCAAAGCGCAGAAGACAUGAGAAGAAAACUGCAGAAACAGGCUGGGCUUGCAGGGAUGAAUACAUCACAAUGAUUAGAAUAGCUAACCAGAUGUUUGUAAACAGGGAUGCAGUAAGCCGUAAGGAAAACCGCAAAGAGAAUGAACGUCCGGCCUGGAGAAACACUGACCUGUUUGUUAGCUGCAGCAAUCAGAGGGGCCCCCCGAGAGAGGCAAGGGAAGGGGGGCCCUGGGACAGAAACUCUGCUUGGCUGUCAGAGUUUGCAGUGUAACCAGUGUGCUUAUUGUAAAGAAAUAGGACAUUGGAAGAACAAAUGUCCUCAGCUCAACAGAAAACAAGGUGACUCAGAGCAGGAGGCCUGGGACAAGGAGGAAGGGGCCCUGCUCAACCUGGCAGAAGGGUUAUUGGACUGAGGGAGACCAGGCUCGAGUGUCCCCAAAGAGCCUCUGGUCAGAAGGACAGUCUGGGAUAGAGACAUUGAUUUUCUUGUAGAUACCGGUGCUGAACAAUCGCUAGUAACCGCCCCGGUCACCCCCUUAUCCAAAAAGACUAUUGACAUCAUCAGAGCCACGGGGGUUUCAGCAAAGCAAGCUUUCUGCUUGCCCCGGGCUUGUGCUGUAGGAGGACAUAAAGUGAUUCAUCAGUUUCUGUACAUGCCUGACUGUCCCUUGCUCUUGUUGGGAAGGGACUUCCUUAGCAAGCUGAGAGCCACUAUCUCUUUUAUAGAGCAUGGCUCUUUGCUGCUAAAGUUGCUCAGAAUGGGAGUCAUUAUGACUCUUAUGGUCCCCCAAGAGGAGGAACGGAGACUUUUCUGAACUAAGCCGGGCCAAGAGAUAAGACCAGCUCUGGCUAAGCGGUGGCCAAGAGUAUGGGCGGAAGACAACCCUUCAGGAUUGGCAGUCAACCAACCCCCUGUACUCAUAGAAAUGAAGCCUGGGGCCCAGCCUGUGACGGAAAAACAGGACCUGGUCCCGCAGAGAAACUCUUCAAGGGAUCCAGGUCCAUCUCAAGCACCUAAGAACUUUUGGAAUCAGAGUUCCUUGUCAGUCUCCACGGAACACUCCCCUUCUGCAUGUUCCCAAGCCACAGACCAAGGACUACAGGCCGGUACAGGAUUUGCGCUUGCUUCAUCAAGCUACACUGACUUUACAUCCAGCAGUACUUAACCCGUACACAUUGCUGGGGUUGCUGCCAGCUGAGAACAGCUGCUUCACCUGCUUGGACCUGAAAGACGCUUUCUUUAGCAUCAGAUUAGCCCCUGAGAGCCAGAAGCUGUUUGCCUUUCAGUGGGAAGAUCCGGAGUCAGGAGUCAUUACUCAGUACACUUGGACCAGGCUUCCCCAAGGGUUCAAGAACUCCCCCACCAUCUUCGGGGAGGCGUUGGCUUAAGACAUCCAGAAGUUUCCCACCAGAGACCUAGGCUACAUUUUGCUCCAGUACGUUGAUGACUUUUUGCUGGGACACCCCAUGGCAGUCGGAUGCUCCAAGGGAACGGAUGCCCUACUCCGGCGCCUGGAGGACUGUGGCUAUAAGGUGUCCAAGAGAAAAGCUCAGAUCUGCUGACAGCAGAAACUCCUGGAGGGCAGAUGCAUGCCUGCCAUCUUCAUCGUUUCAUUACCACCAUCCAACACUAUCGGGGGACCUGCCCUGAUAAUCAGCAUGUAACGAGGCUCAACACAACUCUGUAUGGGAACAGUCAGGUUGGAGGUAAGUGAAGCAGAAUGUCUGGGUCUACGAUGAUACUGAGAGAAUGGGACGGUAGUGGGAACAACAGUCAAAAUAGUUUUUCCUUCCCAUACUCGCAGUCCAGCCAUGGCAAUAGCCAAUUUCCAAAGUUCUGGGUGUUCUGGGCUCAGAAUAGGGAGUGUCAUAGGAGGCCUGGAGGGGGCGGGUAAUGCCUUUAUCUUCCCAUUUUAAGGGAAAGAAUGAGCUGAUCCUUCUAUGCAAAGUAGAAUGAUGAUUCUCUUUCUCCGGAUAAGAAAUAAAAUAAGUAGCCUCCAGGCAUUCCCUUCCACAGAGGAGCAAUUGUUUUUUAAAUAGCCCUAUGGUGCCCAGUCUAUUACUAAACCAUAUGAGUCAUUUUUUAAUAUUACUGCAUGUGAGUUAACACAAUCUUCCCAAAUUAAAGUUUUAGAUGGUCCCUCAAAAUGUUUAGGGCAUGGUUUUCCUGCAGGUUUAUAUUGAAAGUAUGGGGUACCUCCCAUUACUCCUCCUUUCAUUUGUUGUAAAGGAGAAAGGGAGAGGCCAGAGGCCAAAUGUCCCAUUUUAUCUGUAGCUGAUGUUUCUGAAA
rnacentral:lncRNA from 1 species